rnacentral:rRNA from 1 species
GGUGAACGCUGGCGGCGUGCCUAAUACAUGCAAGUCGAGCGAACAGACGAGGAGCUUGCUCCUCUGACGUUAGCGGCGGACGGGUGAGUAACACGUGGAUAACCUACUUAUAAGACUGGGAUAACUUCGGGAAACCGGAGCUAAUACCGGAUAAUAUAUUCAACCGCAUGGUUCAAUAGUGAAAGACGGCUUUGCUGUCACUUAUAGACGGAUCCGCGCCGCAUUAGCUAGUUGGUAAGGUAACGGCUUACCAAGGCAACGAUGCGUAGCCGACCUGAGAGGGUGAUCGGCCACACUGGAACUGAGACACGGUCCAGACUCCUACGGGAGGCAGCAGUAGGGAAUCUUCCGCAAUGGGCGAAAGCCUGACGGAGCCACGCCGCGUGAGUGAUGAAGGUCUUCGGAUCGUAAAACUCUGUUAUUAGGAAAGAAAAAAUGUGUAAGUAACUAUGCACGUCUUGACGGUACCUAAUCAGAAAGCCACGGCUAACUACGUG